rnacentral:rRNA from 1 species
UUUAAAGUCUAGCCUGCCCAAUGGUAAUUAAAUGGCUGCAGUAAUUUGACUGUGCAAAGGUAGCAUAAUCAUUAGUUUUUUAAUUGAAAGCUGGAAUGAAUGGUUGGACGAGAAAAAUACUGUCUCAAUUUAAAUUAAUUAGAAUUUUAUUUUUAAGUUAAAAAGCUUAAAUGUUAUUAAAAGACGAGAAGACCCUAUAGAAUUUUAUAUUUAUUUGUAUAGGUAUGUUAAUGAAUUAUGUACAUAUAUAUAUGUAUAUAUAUUUAGUUGGGGUGAUGGAAAAAUUUAAUUAACUUUUUUUAAGCAUUGUCAUUUAUAUAUGAAUGAAUGAUCCAUUAUUAAUGAUUAUAAGAUUAAAUUACCUUAGGGAUAACAGCGUAAUUUUUUUUGAGAGUUCUUAUCGAAAGAAGAGUUUGCGACCUCGAUGUUGGAUUAAAAUUUACUGUUGGUGCAGGAGUUAAUAGGUUAGGUCUGUUCGACCUUUAAAAUUUUACAUGAUCUGAGUUUAAACCGGUGUGAGCCAGGUUGGUUUCUAUCUUUAAUGGAUUAAUAUAUCUUAGUACGAAAGGACUUGAUUUAUACAAUAGUUGUUUUAGUAUGAUUAUUAUUA